UACGAAGGGGGCUAGCGUUGCUCGGAAUUACUGGGCGUAAAGCGCACGUAGGCGGCUUUCUAAGUCGGGGGUGAAAUCCUGGGGCUCAACUCCAGAACUGCCUUCGAUACUGGAGAGCUCGAGUCCGGGAGAGGUGAGUGGAACUGCGAGUGUAGAGGUGAAAUUCGUAGAUAUUCGCAAGAACACCAGUGGCGAAGGCGGCUCACUGGCCCGGUACUGACGCUGAGGUGCGAAAGCGUGGGGAGCAAACAGG
rnacentral:rRNA from 1 species